CCUAUACGAAUUUGAAUAUCGACACCAGAGGGUAACUUAAGGGAUCGGACGUGUUUCAGCAGCUGCAGCGAAACGUCUGCGAUAUUUUGCGCGUGAUUUUCCGUUCUAUCCGGCGCACCACUGGCUGCCAUAUAGACCCGGCCGACUGUUUCUACCUGUUGAAAGUCGUAAAGAUCUUCAAAUACCUCGCAAGUGCUUAAAGGACAAGCUCCAGCACGCAAUCGAUCAGCAACCGUCUGUGGGAUCAUGGAAUACAAAAGCUCGUCGCUCUUAUUCUUCCAGCGAUCCAGCAACGCGUAGCUGUUUUCCAAUUCGGUUGAUCUCUGCUCAGCCCUCUCAAACAUCAUCUCUAAUC
rnacentral:misc_RNA from 1 species